rnacentral:rRNA from 1 species
UGGGGAAUAUUGCACAAUGGGCGCAAGCCUGAUGCAGCCAUGCCGCGUGUAUGAAGAAGGCCUUCGGGUUGUAAAGUACUUUCAGCGGGGAGGAAGGGAGUAAAGUUAAUACCUUUACUCAUUGACGUUACCCGCAGAAGAAGCACCGGCUAACUCCGUGCCAGCAGCCGCGGUAAUACGGAGGGUGCAAGCGUUAAUCGGAAUUACUGGGCGUAAAGCGCACGCAGGCGGUUUGUUAAGUCAGAUGUGAAAUCCCCGGGCUCAACCUGGGAAAUGCAUCUGAUACUGGCAAGCUUGAGUCUCGUAGAGGGGGGUAGAAUUCCAGGUGUAGCGGUGAAAUGCGUAGAGAUCUGGAGGAAUACCGGUGGCGAAGGCGGCCCCCUGGACGAAGACUAACGCUCAGGUGCGAAAGCGUGGGGAGCAAACGGG